rnacentral:rRNA from 1 species
GACGAACGCUGGCGGCGUGCUUAACACAUGCAAGUCGAACGGAAAGGCCCAGCUUGCUGGGUGCUCGAGUGGCGAACGGGUGAGUAACACGUGGGUGAUCUGCCUCUAACUUCGGGAUAAGCUUGGGAAACUGGGUCUAAUACCGGAUAGGACAAUCGUUUAGUGUCGGUUGUGGAAAGUUUUUUCGGUUAGGGAUGAGCCCGCGGCCUAUCAGCUUGUUGGUGGGGUAAUGGCCUACCAAGGCGUCGACGGGUAGCCGGCCUGAGAGGGUGGACGGCCACAUUGGGACUGGGGUACGGCCCAGACUCCUACGGGAGGCAGCAGUGGGGAAUAUUGCACAAUGGGCGCAAGCCUGAUGCAGCGACGCCGCGUGGGGGAUGACGGCCUUCGGGUUGUAUACCUCUUUCGACAGGGACGAAGCUUUGGUGACGGUACCUGUAUAAGAAGCACCGGCUAACUACGUG